rnacentral:snRNA from 1 species
GGUAAAAGCAUCAUUUCAAUGAUU